UACGAAGGGUGCAAGCGUUACUCGGAAUUACUGGGCGUAAAGCGUGCGUAGGCGGUUCGUUAAGUCCGUUGUGAAAUCCCUGGGCUCAACCCAGGAACUGCGUCCGAUACUGGUUGGCUUGAAUCCGGGAGAGGGAUGUGGAAUUCCAGGUGUAGCGGUGAAAUGCGCAGAUAUCAGGAGGAACACCGGUGGCGGAAGGCGGGUCUCUGGGCCGAUACUGACGCUGGAGGAGCGAAAGCGUGGGGAGCGAACAGG
rnacentral:rRNA from 1 species